GUGUUCACUUUGGCACCACAUAUACUAAAAUUGAAACAAUACAGAGAUUAGCAUGACUCCUGCACAAGGAUGACAUACAAAUUCAUGAAGCAUUCCAUAUAUUU
ensembl:snRNA U6 U6 spliceosomal RNA